GAUGAACGCUGGCGGCGUGCCUAAUACAUGCAAGUCGAGCGAACGGACGAGAAGCUUGCUCCUCUGAUGUUAGCGGCGGACGGGUGAGUAACACGUGGAUAACCUACUUCUAAGACUGGGAUAACUUCGGGAAACCGCAGCUAAUACUGGAUAAUACUUUGAACCGCAUGGUUCAAAAGUGAUUGACGGUUUUGCUGUCUCUUUUAGAUGGUUCCGCGCUGCAUUAGCUAGUUGGUAAGGUAACGGCUUACCAAGGCAACGAUGCGUAGCUGACCUGAGAGGAUGAUCAGCCACACUGGAACUGAGACACGGUCCAGACUCCUACGGGAGGCAGCAGUGGGGAAUCUUCCGCAAUGGGCGAAAGCCUGACGGAGCAACGCCGCGUGAGUGAUGAAGGUCUUCGGAUCGUAAAGCUCUGUUAUUGGGGAAGAAAAUAAGUGUAAGUAACUGUGCACGUCUUGACGGUACCUAAACAGAAAGCAACGGCUAACUACGUG
rnacentral:rRNA from 1 species